AUACGUAGGGGGCGAGCGUUGUCCGGAAUGAUUGGGCGUAAAGGGCGCGUAGGCGGCGCGGUAAGUCUGGAGUGAAAGUCCUGCUUUCAAGGUGGGAAUUGCUUUGGAUACUGCCGCGCUUGAGUGCAGGAGAGGUUAUCGGAAUUCCCGGUGUAGCGGUGAAAUGCGUAGAGAUCGGGAGGAACACCAGUGGCGAAGGCGGGUAACUGGACUGCAACUGACGCUGAGGCGCGAAAGUGUGGGGAGCAAACAGGAUUAGAUACCCUGGUAGUCCGUGCCGUAAACGAUGAAUACUAGGUGUAGGGGGUAUCGACUCCCUCUGUGCCGCAGUUAACACAUUAAGUAUUCCACCUGGGGAGUACGGCCGCAAGGUUGAAACUCAAAUGAAUUGACGGGG
rnacentral:rRNA from 1 species